rnacentral:sRNA from 1 species
GCUGGGCACAGUGGCCCAUGCCUGUAAUCCCAGUGGCUUGGGAGGCAGAGGCAGGAGGAUGAUGAGUUCAAAACCAGCCUCAACAAAGGUGAGGCAUUAAACAACUCAGUGAGACCCUGUCUCUA